rnacentral:lncRNA from 1 species
CUGAGAGGAAGGAGGAGGGAUUUCCAAAACAGGAGAUAAACAGCAUAAAAAGAAAAGAGCCCUGCUAUAGAAAUCAUAGAACCUGGUUACCUGGUUCUAGACUCAAUUCCCCAUGAACUAACUUUCUGUAACCAAGGCCAACCACUUGACCUGAGCUUCCUUGAGAAGAAUAACAAGGCCAGCCCAGCCUGUCUUCUAUGAGCAUGUGGAAAGGACAGGGCUAAACAAAUCUACAGUGUUCCCAUGAAUGCUUUGAGACAAUUGAGACCUUGGUGAUUACAAAAUUUGAUGGUUCUAAAAACAUUGGUGGGGGUUGGGUAACUUGAAAUUCCUUUUUGUGUCUUCCUGAAUCUCAGGAGCUUUUCUGUAAUAUCAGUGCCCUGUGCUGGCGGGUCUGUGCACAGUGGGGGGCAUGAUCGAUGAAAGUGGUCAGGUUUCUGCACCAUCCUUCAGGGAGGAAGCUGGAAGACAAAUCGGGCUUAUUUUUUUUUCUUUUCAGCUCAGCAUCUCUUUGAAUAACAUGCAGGCAAGAGAAUGCAAAGGAAGGAAAUUAUUAAGUGGGACAGAAUAUGCUAAAAUAGGUCAAGGAAGAAAAUGAAAUAGCUUGUUUUUUUCCAUUCUCUUCAGGAAAUGCUGUUAAAAUUAGACCUGCCACAGAUCACAAGAUCAGUAUUAUAAACUGUUUUUCUUUGUAGACAAAAAUCCUCAGCUACCAAGGACUUUGAUUAUUAUAUGAAGACUUGCUAUAGAUGUGGGUCAUAUACAGGCAAGACGUAUGCUUUGUUGAUUUUGUGGGGAGAGGGUGCCUGUCUUUAGUGUCCAGGUCCUUGGUGCAAUCAACAGCCAGACAAAUGGUGUUUAGCUGCUGUAUUUCUAUAACUACUUCCUUUCAUCUUUAACAGGUGCCUAUUUCUCUUUCUUGAAAUUAACUCACACUAAUCCUAGUUAAUGACAGGAUUUGCU